rnacentral:rRNA from 1 species
AAGUAUAAGAGGUCCCGGACUGCCCUGUGACUAUAUGUUUAACGGCCGGGGUAUUUUGACCGUGCGAAGGUAGCGCAAUCACUUGUCUUUUAAAUGGGGACCUGUAUGAAUGGCAUAACGAGGGCUUGACUGUCUCCUCUUUCAAGUCGAUGAAAUUGAUCUCCCCGUGCAGAAGCGGGGAUAAACACAUAAGACGAGAAGACCCUAUGGAGCUUCAGACACUAAAGCAAACCAACAUUAACACCCUAAACACAGGGCACGAAUAAACUUGGCCUCUGCCCUAAUGUCUUUGGUUGGGGCGACCGCGGAGAAACAUAAAACCCCCGCAAGGACCGAAUGUACUACAUUCACAACCAAGAGCGACAGCUCUGAGCAACAGAACUUCUGACCAAUAAGAUCCGGCAACGCCGAUUAAUGAACCGAGUUACCCUAGGGAUAACAGCGCAAUCUCCUCUUAGAGUCCAUAUCGACGAGGGGGUUUACGACCUCGAUGUUGGAUCAGGACAUCCUAAUGGUGCAGCCGCUAUUAAGGUUCGUUUGUUCAACGAUUAAAGUCCUACGUGAUCUGAGUUCAGAA